GGGUAUGCACGGGCUUCUAAAGCAGGGGGCCGGGCCUGUGUGUAUUCAGGAGGAGGAGGAGGGGGAAGCUGAGGAAACUGUGGGUGAGGCAGGGCAGGGAGGUAACCUGUGGAGGGGAAGCUAAAGCCGGAGACAUGUGGACUAGUGUACCGGGGAAGUUGUGGGCGGAACACUCUGGGGUGAGGGCAAUCUCUUUUGAAGUGGCCGGUCUGAUUACAGUUAAAACAGGUCCUGAUUGUCGUGAGGGUCCGGUCCCGGGAAGAGGGAACAGAUGCAGAAAGGGUUUGGGGCUGCUGAGGGUGUUGUUGGGUUAAUACCUGCGGAACAUGGGUAGAACCAGUGAUUGGUGUGGGUGUAGUAAACAUCAGUGGGCUAGCUCUCCUUUGUGUGGGCUGUAAAACUGAUUCUAAACCCUUGGCUACCAACAGGAGUGUGUCAAGUGUUAUAAUCCUGUACUCUGGACGAGAUAAAAUUAACCCCUUACGAAUGUGUUCUUUAAGACCAGCCACGAAGGCUGCAGAUAACAUCUGGGUGUGAGCUUUGUUAUAGGUACUGAACCCUAAGUCUGAGAAAGUCUGAGUUAACCUAGAGUGAUAUUUUUCAACAGUUUCAAGUUUUUCCUGUAUAAUAUCAUUUAUACAAGUAGCCUGGUCAGCUAGUUUAUCCUGUGCCCAAGCUCGGAGUUGUUCACAGAAGAUAAUACCAGAACGAAAAUCUGUAUCAGAAGUGAGUGGAGCAUCAUUAAAGCUCCUUGCCAUGAUUGGCCAGUAUGCA